GUGGGGAAUUUCGGACAAUGGGCGCAAGCCUGAUCCAGCAAUGCCGCGUGUGUGAAGAAGGCCUUCGGGUUGUAAAGCACUUUUGGCAGGAAAGAAAUAGCGCGUGCUAAUACCAUGCGCGAAUGACGGUACCUGCAGAAUAAGCACCGGCUAACUACGUGCCAGCAGCCGCGGUAAGACGUAGGGUGCAAGCGUUAAUCGGAAUUACUGGGCGUAAAGCGUGCGCAGGCGGUUUUGUAAGACAGGUGUGAAAUCCCCGGGCUCAACCUGGGAACUGCACUUGUGACUGCAAGGCUAGAGUGUGUCAGAGGGAGGUGGAAUUCCGCGUGUAGCAGUGAAAUGCGUAGAGAUGCGGAGGAACACCGAUGGCGAAGGCAGCCUCCUGGGAUAACACUGACGCUCAGGCACGAAAGCGUGGGGAGCAAACAGGAUUAGAAACCCUUGUAGUCC
rnacentral:rRNA from 1 species